rnacentral:rRNA from 1 species
ACCCCAUAAAGUAUUUGCUAGAGUACUAAUAACUAUAGUUUAAAACUCAAAAAACUUGGCGGCAAAUUUAAAUUUUCAGGGGAGCUUGCUUUUGAAUCGAUAAUCCCCGUUUUACCUUACUUUUUCUAAAGUUUGUUUACUGCCGUUGUUGCUAACACUAGAAAGGUAGAAAAGUUAGCUUAAAAGAAAUAUUCUUUUAUGUCAGGUCAUUGUGCAGCUAAUGGAAAAGUUAAAGUGAGCUACAAUAAAUAAAAUUAAACGGACUAGAAAAUGGAAACUUUUAUGAAGGUGGACUUGAUAGUAAAUAAGACCAAGAGAGGCUUAUUGAACUUUACUUAAAUUGUGCACAUAUCGCCCGUCGCUCUCGUUGAUAAAAGGAGAUAAGUCGUAACACAGUAGGCUUAGCGGAAGCUGAGCCUAA